rnacentral:rRNA from 1 species
GACGAACGCUGGCGGCGUGCUUAACACAUGCAAGUCGAACGGAAAGGCCCUGCUUUUGUGGGGUGCUCGAGUGGCGAACGGGUGAGUAACACGUGAGUAACCUGCCCUUGACUUUGGGAUAACUUCAGGAAACUGGGGCUAAUACCGGAUAGGAGCUCCUGCUGCAUGGUGGGGGUUGGAAAGUUUCGGCGGUUGGGGAUGGACUCGCGGCUUAUCAGCUUGUUGGUGGGGUAGUGGCUUACCAAGGCUUUGACGGGUAGCCGGCCUGAGAGGGUGACCGGCCACAUUGGGACUGGGAUACGGCCCAGACUCCUACGGGAGGCAGCAGUGGGGAAUAUUGCACAAUGGGCGGAAGCCUGAUGCAGCAACGCCGCGUGCGGGAUGACGGCCUUCGGGUUGUAAACCGCUUUCGCCUGUGACGAAGCGUGAGUGACGGUAAUGGGUAAAGAAGCACCGGCUAACUACGUGCCAGCAGCCGCCGUAAUAC